GAUGAAGAACGCAGUGAAAUGCGAUAAGUAAUGUGAAUUGCAGAAUCUCGUGAAUCAUUAAUCUUUGAACGCACAUUGCGCCCUAUGGUAUUCCGUAGGGCAUGCCUGUCUGAGCGUCAGCUCGUCUUCUCAAGCUCUUUUGCUUGGAUAACAUUAAGGAAGCAUGUUCUUGCAACUUGCUCCUUAGAAAUACAUAGGCGGUACGGUUCUAGCAAACCAGACGUAAUAAAUAUUCUUUUAUAUAUUCGUCCUUUGUUAAUAGUGCUGUUGCUUGCCUCUUAAUCCACAUCUUUUUUCAAGAUGACCUCAGAUCAGGUAGGGAUACCCGCUGAACUUAAGCAUAUCAAUAAGCGGAGGA
rnacentral:misc_RNA from 1 species